AUUGAACGCUGGCGGCAGGCCUAACACAUGCAAGUCGAACGGAUCGGCGGACGCGUGAGUAAUGCCUAGGAAUCUGCCCGGUAGUGGGGGAUAACGUCCGGAAACGGGCGCUAAUACCACAUACUCUCAGAUUCGCCUAGGUCGGAUUAGCUAGUUGGUGGGGUAAAGGCCUACCAAGGCGACGAUCCGUAACUGGUCUGAGCGGAUGAUCAGUCAAACUGGAAAGGAGACAAGGGCCAGAAUCCUACGUGAGGCAGCAGUGGGGAAUAUUGGACAAUGGGGGAAAGCCUGAGCCAGCCAUGCCGCGGGUGUGAAGAAGGUCUUCGGAUUGUAAAGGACUUUAAGUUGGGAGGCGUUACCAACAGAAUAAGCACCGGCCAACUUCGGGCCAGCACCCGCGGUAAUAC
rnacentral:rRNA from 1 species